UCAGGUGUGUGGGGGGGUCCACACUGGAAUCAUGCCUUCAUCUAGUCUCCAAAGAGGAAAGUCAGGAACGGACCUGGCAGAAGACAAAGGUACAUUCCAGAGCACCAGCAUGGCAAAGACCUACCACCAAUGGGCACAAACAGGUCUGCAGCCAGGCAUGUUGCCAGUGGACAGCCUUUCAGAUCCUUCUAGGCACUUAAAAAGGGCUGAGGAUGUGGUUCAGUGAGUUCAAUCCUCAGUGCCAAAAUAAAAUAUCAGUGGACAGAGCAGA